AGCUGCUAUGGCAAGAUGAAACAACCCAGCCUCUGUUCUCCAGCCGUCUCAACACUCAACGCCUAGUCCACUUACAUCCUAUGGUUUCAUCUCUAUUACGGAUGCUCCGGGGAGCACAUUAGUACUGGAAAGACAAUAAAGGUGUGAGCUCGCGACUCAUCUGCCUUCUUUGCUCUUCCAUCAUGGAUUCCAGUCUUCUGCAACCGUUACCUUUCUCUUUUCCCCAUAUUUUAACGAGACUCCAUCCUGUGGACUGGCUAUAGAGGGUAGAGGGGUCAUGACUGCCGCCCACCACCAGCAGGCAGGCAAUCCUGCAGAACCCUGAGCUCCACUUUUGGUCACCACCUCCCCCUGCUGUCCGUCUGAGAUCCUGCAGCUUGGCAUGAAGAUGAAACAGACUGUGUUUGCUAUUCUGAACUAGAGCCGGGACCGAGCCUUUGUAGUUCACAACUACCUGUCCUAGUAAGAGUUUAGAUUGCAGGAGAUGGAAGGCUCUCUAAUUAAAGUUUUUAUUACGGGAUAUUGAAAAUGACUUGGUGGCUAUAUACCUUGUUUCAGGAUUGAA
rnacentral:sRNA from 1 species